AACGUGUUAAUUCAAUGGUAGAAUAUUAUGCUACGGACAUAACUAUAUAAGUUCGAAUCUUAUACACGUUU
rfam:TNVERIFIED: Penicillium marneffei strain ATCC 18224 mitochondrial sequence.